rnacentral:misc_RNA from 1 species
AUGAGAUGGUGACACAUGGCACUACACAUAAGCUUGUCAUUUGUCUUCCAAUCAUGUAAGAUGAUCAAAGUCAAGAUUAAAUAUAGGUUUGACACUUGGCACAAUGUGAUUGGGUCACUUAAACCUAGAGCUAAUCAAAGGGUGACAUGUGGCAAGGGUUUAAUGUGUUGACCUAGCUAUUUAAGUGUUGUUAUGAGAAAAUAAAAUACAACCAGCAGCCACACUCCUUGGUCACGCCAUUUUGCAGCCCUCCCUCUAUUCUUCUUCAUCUCUCAUCAAUUCAAAGAGAUUAGCCAUCAAUCUCUUGAAUUAAGAACACUAGAAAUUGUUUCUAGUGUCCUGUUUACAUCUCUAAUCUCUUAAAAGGCAGAACUUGAAUUUCUAAUUAAUAGAAAAGGCUUUAGAAGCUGUUCAAGGGCUGCCAUAGGUGAUCUUGGUGUGGACAAGCUAUAGGGACAACACUUGGGAUCCUAAGAGCUUCCUAAAGGUGUCAAUUGCAUCCAUAGUGCAUCAAAGAGGUUAGUGCCCAAAUUUAUCUUUCAAAUUAGGGUUUAAUUGAAUUAAUUUGUUAAUUCACAAU